rnacentral:misc_RNA from 1 species
UCACCCUCGUAAAUGAGAAAGUCUAACGAUCCAGUGUAGUAGCUUUGUUCAGGUUGGUUACAAGUUCUGCCGCUGACGUGAGGUCUACAGCGGCACUGGCCAGUGACUACGUCGCAAGAAUUCUCGUAGGAACCACCAGGAUCGCAAUCGCAAGGCUUGCAACCGUCUGGAUCUUCCGAAAGUCCCCAAUAUUCUGGGAGACAUUGGUUACAAUCGCGAGCAGUAACGUAACGCUUGCAAGUACACUCGCCAGUCACCAUAUUACAUCCACGAUUGUCGAUGGUACCCAGGAUGUUGCAGGAUCGAAGUUCCAGAAACCAUUUUUACAACGAUCGCAACGACGACCUUCGACAUUUGCUUUACAGUUACAGCGGCCAGAUUCGCCUCCGGUGAGAGGAUUGGUUAUCGAAUCGCAUAUACCGUCGUCCAAGGAACCACCUAGGUCGCAGUCACAAGCUACGAACAGAUAAAAAAA